rnacentral:rRNA from 1 species
UACGGAGGGUGCGAGCGUUGUCCGGAAUCACUGGGCGUAAAGGGCGCGUAGGCGGCCACUGCAAGUCAGUUGUGAAAUCUCCGGGCUUAACCCGGAAAGGUCAACUGAUACUGCAGGGCUAGAGUGCAGAAGGGGCAACUGGAAUUCUCGGUGUAGCGGUGAAAUGCGUAGAUAUCGAGAGGAACACCUGCGGCGAAGGCGGGUUGCUGGGCUGACACUGACGCUGAGGCGCGAAAGCUAGGGGAGCGAACGGG